GACGAACGCUGGCGGCGUGCUUAACACAUGCAAGUCGAACGGUAAGGCCCUUCGGGGUACACGAGUGGCGAACGGGUGAGUAACACGUGGGUGAUCUGCCCUGCACUUCGGGAUAAGCCUGGGAAACUGGGUCUAAUACCGGAUAGGACCACUGCCUGCAUGGGUGGUGGUGGAAAGCUUUUGCGGUGUGGGGUGGGCCCGCGGCCUAUCAGCUUGUUGGUGGGGUGAGGGCCUACCAAGGCGUCGAUCGAUAGGUGGUCUGAGAGGACGGUCACCCAGACUGGGACUGGGACGAGGCCCAGACUCCUACGGGAGGCAGCAGUCGGGAAUUUUGCGCAAUGGGGGAAACCCUGACGAAGCAAUACCGCGUGUGGGAUGAAGGCCUUCGGGUCGUAAACCACUUUUCUCGGGGACGAUAAUGACGGUACCCGAGGAAUAAGCCACGGCUAACUACGUGCCAGCAGCCGCCGCUG
rnacentral:rRNA from 1 species